rnacentral:rRNA from 1 species
GCGAUACAGGGUGACAGCCCCGUACACAAAAAUGCACAUAUUGUGAGCUCGAUGAGUAGGGCGGGACACGUGGUAUCCUGUCUGAAUAUGGGGGGACCAUCCUCCAAGGCUAAAUACUCCUGACUGACCGAUAGUGAACCAGUACCGUGAGGGAAAGGCGAAAAGAACCCCGGCGAGGGGAGUGAAAAAGAACCUGAAACCGUGUACGUACAAGCAGUGGGAGCCUCUUAAUGGGGUGACUGCGUACCUUUUGUAUAAUGGGUCAGCGACUUAUAUUCUGUAGCAAGGUUAACCGAAUAGGGGAGCCGAAGGGAAACCGAGUCUUAACUGGGCGUUAAGUUGCAGGGUAUAGACCCGAAACCCGGUGAUCUAGCCAUGGGCAGGUUGAAGGUUGGGUAACACUAACUGGAGGACCGAACCGACUAAUGUUGAAAAAUUAGCGGAUGACUUGUGGCUGGGGGUGAAAGGCCAAUCAAACCGGGAGAUAGCUGGUUCUCCCCGAAAGCUAUUUAGGUAGCGCCUCGUGAAUUCAUCUCCGGGGGUAGAGCACUGUUUCGGCAAGGGGGUCAUCCCGACUUACCAACCCGAUGCAAACUGCGAAUACCGGAGAAUGUUAUCACGGGAGACACACGGCGGGUGCUAACGUCCGUCGUGAAGAGGGAAACAACCCAGACCGCCAGCUAAGGUCCCAAAGUCAUGGUUAAGUGGGAAACGAUGUGGGAAGGCCCAGACAGCCAGGAUGUUGGCUUAGAAGCAGCCAUCAUUUAAAGAAAGCGUAAUAGCUCACUGGUCGAGUCGGCCUGCGCGGAAGAUGUAACGGGGCUAAACCAUGCACCGAAGCUGCGGCAGCGAC